rnacentral:rRNA from 1 species
ACACAUGCAAGUCGAGGGGCAGCAUGGUCUUAGCUUGCUAAGGCCGAUGGCGACCGGCGCACGGGUGAGUAACACGUAUCCAACCUGCCGUCUACUCUUGGACAGCCUUCUGAAAGGAAGAUUAAUACAAGAUGGCAUCAUGAGUCCACAUGUUCACAUGAUUAAAGGUAUUCCGGUAGACGAUGGGGAUGCGUUCCAUUAGAUAGUAGGCGGGGUAGCGGCCCACCUAGUCUUCGAUGGAUAGGGGUUCUGAGAGGAAGGUCCCCCACAUUGGAACUGAGACACGGUCCAAACUCCUACGGGAGGCAGCAGUGAGGAAUAUUGGUCAAUGGGCGAGAGCCUGAACCAGCCAAGUAGCGUGAAGGAUGACUGCCCUAUGGGUUGUAAACUUCUUUUAUAAAGGAAUAAAGUCGGGUAUGGAUACCCGUUUGCAUGUACUUUAUGAAUAAGGAUCGGCUAACUCCGUGCCAGCAGCCGCGGUAAUACGGAGGAUCCGAGCGUUAUCCGGAUUUAUUGGGUUUAAAGGGAGCGUAGAUGGAUGUUUAAGUCAGUUGUGAAAGUUUGCGGCUCAACCGUAAAAUUGCAGUUGAUACUGGAUAUCUUGAGUGCAGUUGAGGCAGGCGGAAUUCGUGGUGUAGCGGUGAAAUGCUUAGAUAUCACGAAGAACUCCGAUUGCGAAGGCAGCCUGCUAAGCUGCAACUGACAUUGAGGCUCGAAAGUGUGGGUAUCAAACAGGAUUAGAUACCCUGGUAGUCCACACGGUAAACGAUGAAUACUCGCUGUUUGCGAUAUACAGCAAGCGGCCAAGCGAAAGCGUUAAGUAUUCCACCUGGGG